rnacentral:misc_RNA from 1 species
GCAAACUUGGUCAUUUAGAGGAAGUAAAAGUCGUAACAAGGUUUCCGUAGGUGAACCUGCGGAAGGAUCAUUAUUGAGUGAGGGUUUCUUUUUUAGAGCCCAACCUCCAACCCUUGUGUUUAUUAUACCAUUGUUGCUUCGGCGGGACGUGUUUUUACGAAAGUGAAAACCGCCGGCGGUCUUUUUGACUUCUGGAGAGUCGCCCGUCGAUGGCCCUUAUUUUAAACUCUGAAUAAAGAACAAGUAGUACAGUCUAAGUUUGAUACAAAAAUAAAGCAAAACUUUCAACAACGGAUCUCUUGGUUCUGGCAUCGAUGAAGAACGCAGC